rnacentral:rRNA from 1 species
GACGAACGCUGGCGGCGUGCUUAACACAUGCAAGUCGAACGGUGAAGCGCCUUCCUUUUUGGUGGGUGUGGAUGAGUGGCGAACGGGUGAGUAACACGUGAGUAACCUGCCCCCUUCUUCUGGAUAACCGCAUGAAAGUGUGGCUAAUACGGGAUAUUCUGGGUCUGUCGCAUGAUGGGUCUGGGAAAGAUAUUGUUUCGGUGGGGGAUGGGCUCGCGGCCUAUCAGCUUGUUGGUGGGGUGAUGGCCUACCAAGGCGGUGACGGGUAGCCGGCCUGAGAGGGUGGACGGUCACACUGGGACUGAGACACGGCCCAGACUCCUACGGGAGGCAGCAGUGGGGAAUAUUGCACAAUGGGCGCAAGCCUGAUGCAGCGACGCCGCGUGAGGGAUGGAGGCCUUCGGGUUGUGAACCUCUUUCGCCAGUGAAGCAGGCCUGCCUCGUGCGUGGGUGGGUUGACGGUAGCUGGAUAAGAAGCGCCGGCUAACUACGUG